GGUUUGGUUUUGGUGCAACCGGAGUCCCGAACACCGAUGAAGACAACUUUGAGGAUGCUGACGAUGAGAGUCAGGAGGACUCUGAUGAUAGCAUGGGCCGAUUGCAGACAUCUAUUGAGGGAUGUCAUAGACAGGAUUUUCAUUUUUCUUUCUUUUAUCUUUUAUUUUUUUUACUUUUUAAAUUGUUAGAAUAGGUUGAAUUUUAUUUUAGUGUGCACUCUUGGCUUGAACACUUUUUC
rnacentral:lncRNA from 1 species